GAAAAAGAGGAGUGGCGAACGGGUGAGUAACACGUGGGUAACCUGCCCAUCAGAAGGGGAUAACACUUGGAAACAGGUGCUAAUACCGUAUAACAAUCGAAACCGCAUGGUUUUGAUUUGAAAGGCGCUUUCGGGUGUCGCUGAUGGAUGGACCCGCGGUGCAUUAGCUAGUUGGUGAGGUAACGGCUCACCAAGGCGACGAUGCAUAGCCGACCUGAGAGGGUGAUCGGCCACAUUGGGACUGAGACACGGCCCAAACUCCUACGGGAGGCAGCAGUAGGGAAUCUUCGGCAAUGGACGAAAGUCUGACCGAGCAACGCCGCGUGAGUGAAGAAGGUUUUCGGAUCGUAAAACUCUGUUGUUAGAGAAGAACAAGGAUGAGAGUAACUGUUCAUCCCUUGACGGUAUCUAACCAGAAAGCCACGGCUAACUACGUGCCAGCAGCCGCGGUAAUACGUAGGUGGCAAGCGUUGUCCGGAUUUAUUGGGCGUAAAGCGAGCGCAGGCGGUUUCUUAAGUCUGAUGUGAAAGCCCCCGGCUCAACCGGGGAGGGUCAUUGGAAACUGGGAGACUUGAGUGCAGAAGAGGAGAGUGGAAUUCCAUGUGUAGCGGUGAAAUGCGUAGAUAUAUGGAGGAACACCAGUGGCGAAGGCGGCUCUCUGGUCUGUAACUGACGCUGAGGCUCGAAAGCGUGGGGAGCAAACAGGAUUAGAUACCCUGGUAGUCCACGCCGUAAACGAUGAGUGCUAAGUGUUGGAGGGUUUCCGCCCUUCAGUGCUGCAGCUAACGCAUUAAGCACUCCGCCUGGGGAGUACGACCGCAAGGUUGAAACUCAAAGGAAUUGACGGGGGCCCGCA
rnacentral:rRNA from 1 species